rnacentral:lncRNA from 1 species
GAAUUUUUAGGAAAACAUGGAACGAAAUGAAUGAAUCUGUGCUCGUCCCAAGCGAGACACUUAAAAUUGCUUUUGCGGGUACCGAAAUUCCAUCCUUUCAAAUUUAUGACAUUUGCUCGCUAAAGGAAGUGCUAUAACUGUGGUCGCUUGGGUCAUACAGCCUCGCGUUGUAAGUCACAAAAGCGAUGCAAGAAAUGUGGCAAUAACACGUGCAACGAAAAUUGCAAUACCAACAAGGUAUUGUGAUGUACACAAUGCGUUUGAGAGAAACAAGUGUCAGGUGUGGGCGACAUAAAUAAAAUCAUGACCAUUAAGAAACUGGAAAGAAAGGAAGCUCUAAAGCAAUUUUCCUUUCAACAAAACUAUGAUCAGAUUCGAGACUAUGACAAAAACUUUCCUCAAAUGAUAAAUAAAAACGAGAAGGGACGUGUGAGACGCUUCUUACGCGUCACAACUUUUAUACCCGGCACUCAGUACUAC